CCCCUCUCAGGAUCGCACCUGGAGAGUAUCCAGUACUCUACCAGUUUCGACUAGGGGAGGGAGAGUCAAUCAGAGGCAUACGUUUUCCAUUCCUAGCUUGGGCAGUGGCUGGUGAGUGGAAGGCAAUCCGCUGCGAGU